rnacentral:rRNA from 2 species
GAGUUUGAUCCUGGCUCAGAACGAACGCUGGCGGCAUGCCUAACACAUGCAAGUCGAACGAAGUCUUCGGACUUAGUGGCGCACGGGUGCGUAACGCGUGGGAAUCUGCCCUUGGGUACGGAAUAACUCAGAGAAAUUUGUGCUAAUACCGUAUAAUGACUUCGGUCCAAAGAUUUAUCGCCCAAGGAUGAGCCCGCGUAAGAUUAGCUAGUUGGUGGGGUAAAAGCCUACCAAGGCGACGAUCUUUAGCUGGUCUGAGAGGAUGAUCAGCCACACUGGGACUGAGACACGGCCCAGACUCCUACGGGAGGCAGCAGUGGGGAAUAUUGGACAAUGGGCGAAAGCCUGAUCCAGCAAUGCCGCGUGAGUGAUGAAGGCCUUAGGGUUGUAAAGCUCUUUUACCAGGGAUGAUAAUGACAGUACCUGGAGAAUAAGCUCCGGCUAACUCCGUGCCAGCAGCCGCCGUAAG